CCCCGCAUUCUGAAGUGAUUUUGGACCGCCUGUGUCCCGCUCCCUGGUAGUGCAGGCAGAGGAAACUCGGAAUGAGUUGUCCCAUGUUUGGGGGAGUCCACAUCCUCGCCUCCCCGUUCUGGAGCUUUCUUCCC